CAGCAGCCGCCGCGGUAAAACGUAGGUGGCAAGCGUUGUCCGGAAUUAUUGGGCGUGAAGCGCGCGCAGGCGGAUCAGUUAGUCUGUCUUAAAAGUUCGGGGCUUAACCCCGUGAUGGGAUGGAAACUGCUGAUCUAGAGUAUCGGAGAGGAAAGUGGAAUUCCUAGUGUAGCGGUGAAAUGCGUAGAUAUUAGGAAGAACACCAGUGGCGAAGGCGACUUUCUGGACGAAAACUGACGCUGAGGCGCGAAAGUCGGGGGAGCGAACGGGAUUAGAUACCCCAGUAGUCCCUGUCUCUUAUACA
rnacentral:rRNA from 1 species